GACGAACGCUGGCGGCGUGCUUAACACAUGCAAGUCGAACGGUAAGGCCCUUCGGGGUACACGAGUGGCGAACGGGUGAGUAACACGUGGGUGAUCUGCCCUGCACUUCGGGAUAAGCCUGGGAAACUGGGGCUAAUACCGGAUAGGACCCUGGGAUGAAUGACCUGGGGUGGAAAGCUUUUGCGGUGUGGGAUGGGCCCGCGGCAUAUCAGCUUGUUGGUGGGGGGAUGGCCUACCAAGGCGACGACGGGUAGCCGGCCUGAGAGGGUGACCGGCCACACUGGGACUGAGAUACGGCCCAGACUCCUACGGGAGGCAGCAGUGGGGAAUAUUGCACAAUGGGCGCGAGCCUGAUGCAGCGACGCCGCGUGAGGGAUGACGGCCUUCGGGUUGUAAACCUCUUUCAGCACCGACGAAGCGCAAGUGACGGUAGGUGCAGAAGAAGGACCGGCCAACUACGUGCCAGCCGCCGCCGUAA
rnacentral:rRNA from 1 species